UGAGGAAUAUUGGUCAAUGGGCGCAAGCCUGAACCAGCCAUCCCGCGUGCAGGAUGACGGCCCUAUGGGUUGUAAACUGCUUUUGUACAGGAAGAAAAAUCCCUACGAGUAGGGGCCUGCCGGUACUGUACGAAUAAGCAUCGGCUAACUCCGUGCCAGCAGCCGCGGUAAUACGGAGGAUGCAAGCGUUAUCCGGAUUCAUUGGGUUUAAAGGGUGCGUAGGCGGCUUUUAAGUCAGUGGUGAAAUCCUGCCGCUUAACGGUAGAAUUGCCAUUGAUACUGAGAAGCUUGAGUUCAGUUGAGNUAAGCGGAAUGUGUAGUGUAGCGGUGAAAUGCUUAGAUAUUACACAGAACACCGAUUGCGAAGGCAGCUUACUAAACUGUUACUGACGCUGAUGCAUGAAAGCGUGGGGAUCGAACA
rnacentral:rRNA from 1 species